UUUUAAUCUCCUGCUGCGGGCGGCAGACAUGGGAGAGACAGACGAGCUGCAAAGGGAAGUCGAUGAAAUGAAAUUAAAGCCCUACAACUGUGUUCCUGUCAAUGUAGAUGGGGGUCCCCCCUCCUCGGUUUGCUCACAGAGGUGGGUGUGAGAACCUAUAGGAGUGUCUGGAAGAGAUCCUGUGGAAGUCAUUUUGCCCAGAGCUGGAGGAGAAGCAAAAGCUGUCGUGAUGUGGAUUCAUCAAGAGAAGGUUUGCCACACAUGUUGGGGAGCAGAGAGGCAAGCACCAUGCCUUCCUGGAGACGGAAGAAGAUUGAGCGAGAUUACAUCUCAUUG
rnacentral:lncRNA from 1 species